rnacentral:rRNA from 1 species
GACGAACGCUGGCGGCGUGCCUAAUACAUGCAAGUCGAACGCAGUGGGGACGGGUGAGUAACACGUGGGUAACCUCCCAUCAGAGGGGAUAACACUUGGAAACAGGUGCUAAACCGAUACUGAUGGAUGGACCCGCGGUGCAUUAGCUAGUUGGUGAGGUAACGGCUCACCAAGGCCACGAUGCAUAGCGGAGCUGAAAGGGUGAGCGGGGAAACUGGGACUGAGACACGGACCAGAGUGCUACGGGAGGCAGCAGUAGGGAAUAGUCGGCAAUGGACGAAAGUCUGACCGAGCAACGCCGCGUGAGUGAAGAAGGUUUUCGGAUGGUAAAGCUCUGUUGUUAGAGAAGCGGUAUCUAACCAGAAAGCCACGGCUAACUACGUGCCAGCAGCCGCGGUAAUAC